rnacentral:rRNA from 1 species
AUUGAACGCUGGCGGCAGGCUUAACACAUGCGAGUCGAGCGGGGUGAUGGUGCUUGCACUAUCACUUAGCGGCGGACGGGUGAGUAAUGCUUAGGAAUCUGCCUAUUAGUGGGGGACAACAUCUCGAAAGGGAUGCUAAUACCGCAUACGUCCUACGGGAGAAAGCAGGGGAUCACUUGUGACCUUGCGCUAGUAGAUGAGCCUAAGUCGGAUUAGCUAGUUGGUGGGGCAAAGGCCUACCAAGGCGACGAUCUGUAGCGGGUCUGAGAGGAUGAUCCGCCACACUGGGACUGAGACAAGGCCCAGACUCCUACGGGAGGCAGCAGUGGGGAAUAUUGGACAAUGGGGGGAACCCUGAUCCAGCCAUGCCGCGUGUGUGAAGAAGGCCUUAUGGUUGUAAAGCACUUUAAGCGAGGAGGAGGCUCUUUUGGUUAAUACCCAAGAUGAGUGGACGUUACCCGCAGAAUAAGCACCGGCUAACUCUGUGCCAGCCGCCGCCGUAA